AAACACCAUGAAAGGAAGGGAGAAGAGGACAGUUUUCCGAUUGCUGUAAAAUUUCUUUUCAGGAAUUGUAAAAUGGUUCGGAAUGGAGCGAGAAGUGGAAUGGAAUCAGAUGCAAUGAGAGGAAUCUCGAACUAGAAGUGGAUGAAAGAAAAGAGAAAGUUCAUGAAAUGAAGGGUGAAGAAGGUUUUCCGAUUGCUGUAAAAUUUCUUUUCAGGGUUCGGAAUGGAGCGAGAAGUGGAAUGGAAUCAGAUGUAAUGACAGGAAUCUCGAAAUAGAAGUGGAUGAAAGAAAAGAGAAACACCAUG